rnacentral:rRNA from 1 species
UACAGAGGUCCCGAGCGUUGUUCGGAUUCACUGGGCGUAAAGGGUGCGUAGGUGGUGGAGUAAGUUUGAUGUGAAAUCUCCGGGCUUAACCCGGAAACUGCAUUGAAUACUAUUUUGCUGGAGGUUUGGAGGGGGGACUGGAAUUCUCGGUGUAGCAGUGAAAUGCGUAGAUAUCGAGAGGAACACCAGUGGCGAAGGCGAGUCCCCUGGACAACACCUGACACUGAGGCACGAAAGCUAGGGGAGCAAACGGG